CAAAUGUCUGGCAGGAGAUGAGAAAGAACAAUAAACAGAUAUCAUGGAAAGUAAGUAACCCAGAAAAUAAGGUUUCUGGGCAAAAUAUUCUUUGCCUUCAGUGUCUGCAGCAUUUCAUCCAGUGUCUUUCAUGGCUACUCUUUUUUUUAAUGUCUUGUUUUGAAAAUAUACCGUAGGGUCGCUGGGAUGGAAAAGUAACUGCCUAAUUUCUUCUCUUCUUCCUACUGUUGUCUCCCUCCCUACUCCUGUUUACUAGUGAGAAGCACGUUCCUUUUUGUUUCACAUUACUAUCCUGAUGGGGCAGGUAGGUUGUGGUUAACUCUAUCAAAAAGCUUUGAUUUUCCAUUUCUACCCCCCUCUAAAUGUAGCUCUUGCAGGUGGGACGUGACCAGGAGGAAUAAUCAGGACUGUGAAUGCCUAAAUGCUGCCAAAAAAGGGCCUGCUCUCUUCUCAUUACCCAUGGUAGAUGGGACUUUUAAUUGGUAUCUCCAAUGCUGCACACUUCCAAAAGUCUCACAGGCUGUUUAAAUGAAUUCAUUUCAAUUACACUGCAGUGUAAAAAGAGAUUUUUGGCUCUAAUCAGCUACUGUUUUUAAGCAGAUUUGCUGGAAACAAAAUAUGUCCCUCUUUUGCACAUAUAGGGUUGCUGGCACCUACCUGGUGUGAAAAGACAUGGGACAUCAGGAGAUGAGACUUCACCGAAGGGGAUAUCUGCUGUCUGUGAUAUACUGGGCAUGUGGCUGCUGUUGUGCUUCAAAUCUCCAAUUUUAAAAGAGGAUUCUUACAUUGAAGAGCUGUAAUCUGCGGUGAAAUGCUUGGCCUUCAAAAUCCGCUCCUAUCCUUAAAUGGCAGCUAAGGGUGCCUCACGAGCCAGUUUGCCCAGUGCUCGACUUAGGAACUUGUAUCUGGCAUCGAUUCCUGUAAGUAUAAGCAGGUGAUGAAUCUGAAAAUGCCUACCAGAACUGGAAAGUGAGCACGCUAGAGGCAACCAAACCUCAGGCAGACAAGGUGGAUCUAGUAACAAACAAACUCCUGGUUUCCUCUGUAGAGUCAUCCCCAGAGGCUCGCAUCUCAGACUGUAUCCAGUGAGAAGAGCAUAAAACAGUAAAUAAGGUAUUUUUAAAUAAGGUUUUAGAUAACAUUAGGAACCUUGGUAAGAAAAAAGUUUGUCUGCAUGGAGAAAAUCAAAUCCCGUCCUAACAAGUGCAUCUCUGGUCCCUCGCACAUCCAGGCUUUGCUCUUUUCUUCAUAUGCACCCUUGGGGAGUCUUGCGAAUUAGAAAUAUUUUCUUUAUUCUCCUGGCUCAUUUAAAAUAUUCUCUCAAGCAGUUAAUAAUGUGUAUUUGUUUUUGUUUUGACAAUUCCAGUUUAUAACAUUUGAAUACUUUAGAGGAUGGGUAGAGCUUUCCUCAGCAGAGUCAAUAAUGGAAACAUAAUAGCAUAAAUUAAAUGAGAUGUGGAAAGCUUAUUUUUUGUUUUGUGAAACUUCAUUUGCAAUGGCUGACUUAGUUCAUUUUGAAUGUUGAUAGAAUGUCUUAUUCAAUCUUUGAAACAAAACGCAAUACAUUUUUUCUCAUUUAUCAGAAGUGUCUGUUGCAAUAUACAACACUAGUUUCGGUGGAAGAUGCUGCUGUCAAAGCGAAAAGCUCAAGGUAAGUUUCUCGUUUGACUUUGGUUUGCAUUACAUGCGUGUCUAUGGCCAUCUGUGGAAUUACUCUGGAUUUCUACUGUAACUCAUAAAGUAAGCCUGUAGUGAUUCUACUUGCAGAUGUCAUACAACAUUGUGAGCACUUUAUCACGGUGAAAUGAUUACUGCAUAUGCAAGUACUGCUUCCCAGAGGACUUCCAAAUAGGGCUGGUUAGGUCCACAUGCUGAGGUGCAGGCUCCUUGGUUUGCUCGGCGUUCGGCUCUUCUGUAUUGUUUUCUUUUGGCUUCUUGUAGACCAAGUACUCCUGAAAAGUUCCUUUUAUCAGUAUUCUGGCAAAAUCACUGAUUAGCUGCUGCACCGAAGCAUGCCUAAGCACAUAUUUCAGGAAUUGACACGUUUUAAGUCAGCUGGCAGAUUUGCAGUUUAUCUGUAUAGUUUGAAUGUGGCAUAGCUUGCUUUUGCAUAAACACCGACGCAUGCUUUUUUUGUUGUUGUUGUUUGUUGUCGUUUUUUUAUUAUUAUUUUUGAAGUUGUCCCAGAUUCCUGAGAACUUCAUCUUUAACUUAUCCUUACAGACUUUACAGAGUGAUGCUGUUUAAAUUCUUAUGUGCGGUAGGCUGUUUCUUUUUGAAAUAUCCUGAAAUUGUAUUAUCUCACAGCGGAGAAAAAAGGAGAAGGAGAAAUUUCAUAGCUGUGCAUAUUUUGUCGCAUCUUCCCUAAUUUAGCAGUUGGUGGCUGCCAGCUGUCGGGGACUCAGUGAAUAAUGCAUAGAAAUAAGUGAUCCAGAGGAAUACAAAUUCCCUGUUUCCUAGGAAGAUCCAACCGUAGAUCACAGUCUUUUAACUCACGCUCAAUAUUUUAACAGAUUUUCUUUUCCCAUCCGGGGUGGUUAAUGGAAAUAAAAGUAAGUCAUAGUAUAGUGCUCAGCCACGAGCCCUGAAAUAAGUUUUUGAUUGCUCAUUGGAGAUAAGUGCAAACGUGCCAGUUGAAGGAACCUGGCCCUAGAGGUGUAGUCCGUAAGCACAGUCACAAUAAUGAAUUUGUGCAUACAAAGUAAGUAUGUGAAAUGCACACAGUCGUAAGGAAAACUUGGUCACUCAUGUUCCUGGUAAACAAAUACCGAUAUGUUGUCCCAAAUUGAUUUGCGUAUUCAAGAGCAGAUCGAUGAGUGACGUUUUGCAUUUUCCUCACCUCUAGGACUAACAAAACUAUCCCUCAGGACGCUGUGUCAGAGAUGUAGAAUGAAGCAUCUAUGCUUUGGGAUUCGUCUGUAAGGCCCAGGAGACCACCACAGCUCUGUUACGGGGACCGGUGUCAGGUAAAGUGUUGGCACACGGGGCUGCGAGUGUUCCUGAAGCACGGGCUAUUUCCAACAGGAUAAAUCUCCUCCUAUGAUGUGAAGUCACCAUAAUGCGCGUCGACUCAAGGAGAAUCAGGCAAACCACUGCUGAUAGCACUUCAAUCCCCUAUGGUACAAAAGUCUCUUGUUCCUAGUUCUCACACUCCAGAAGAUUAUCAUUAAAAUGCAGCACAUCAUCCUCUAAAUCUGUAAUUGAAAGAACUUUUGACGCUCUGAUAGGCAACAAAAUCUGAGGAGAAAUGGCAAAACAUGGAGGGGAAAAUGUAAAAGGUUGGUCUGUUUUCUGCAUAAUGAUUAAGCCAAGAACAAAAAAGUGGUACAAAGUGAGUGCACUAAUGAUGACUAAAUUAGUUUGAGACCUGUGCUUUGUAUGAGCCUAGCCAGGUACAGGUAGUGACGAGUCAAGCAACUUUGGGCAAGAGCGAUCCUGAACAAAUGAAGUUUAAAUGACAACAACUCAUUUCCCUUUUGGAGUCACAUUUCAAAUGACAGAGUUAAGAACUACAUUUAGUGAGACGCAGAGACUCAUCUCUGUUCUUUAAUAUGCAUUUUGAUGUAUUGAAUGAAAACAAGUGCUUGACAGGCUGUGUCAGUAAUGGUGCUAAGAUUGGACAUGGUCUAGAAGAGAGCCUGUAGCUGUUCUCACUUACUUCAUUUCAGGGGAGGAUGUUCUUUCCAUUGCUCUUCUCCCAUUUGGUGAGCCGGUCAAUAUUUAAUGAUUAAGAUGAUUGAUUUUAUAUACAGGGAAAAAAAAAAAGCAUAUCGGGAUUUAAACUUUACUUUCUGCCUUUGCUAAAUGAUAAAUUACUUUCUAUCAUUGCAUUAAAGUCUAUGUUCCCAGCAGAUUCACUUGCUGACAUUAUGACUAUUGCAGCAUCUCUCACAGUUGAGCAUAGAAAAAAGUUCCAAGUAGCUGUGCGCUUUCGAUAGUGCAGAAGAGGAACUAAACUCUUUAGCAUGGGAUCCACAGCCAACAAGGCGAACUAGCCAUGAUGCAGUGUGCAAGAUGAGAGAAGACCUUGUGCAUUCUUCUAGCCUUCUUUUACUUAUCAAUGACAGGGGAUUGAAAGUCAGUUUCCUGGAAGAGUGGAUUUCAGGUUUUGUGGCUUGAUUUCCAGCACUGUAAGGAGAUAUAAGUAAGGCCAUUUGUGUCACUACAAUACCAGCUCAUGUAUUCAAGUGUUAGGGUUAUCUCCACCUUGUCCUCUGGAGCCCUGCUGGUUUUAUAUGGAGGAAGACCAUUUUGUGUUGCUGUAGAAGACUAAUUACCAGAAUAAAAAGUAGGGUUUUGCUGAUUUUCUGUGAAUAUAUUUGAAAAAUUAUUCAGUGAGGCUUCGGUGAAAUGGUUUUGCUUUGUUGGAACCUCAAGAAAUCCUCUUCCGAAAUUGAACAGAAGCACUUUAGAGUCCUUAACAUGCAUGUUUUGAGUGACUAUGUUAUGGCAGCUUGCAUAAAUUAUGACAGAGAAACUUUCUAAAUUUAUUUUAAAAUAGUAGCAAACCACUCUUGAUCUUGAGGAAAGCCUACAAGAACUCUUACCAAAAUGCUGCCCAUACUCUGCAGUGUUCUUGUGAGCUACUUAGUGAAAUAUUACUUAUUCUUUUUAUUAACAUUGAGUUUCUUCUGUUAUUCCAUCACAUGCCCUCUUAGGACUUUUUGUCCCAUCUAUACGCUGUGCUUAUUUACAUGGACAUAUGAUGGCAAUAGGCAUUCGAAUAUGCAAAGAAAACUAAAACUCACUGAGGAUGGUUAUUAGCGUGUUUAUAACCAGCAGGAGUGACAUCUUAUCCCAGGCAAUUAUUGGAAUCCACUGAAAUCCUGCUAUGUUUACACUUCAUGUUAUUCGGGGGCCAGGCAAGUCAAUUAGCUUUGGCUAAAAACAUCAGAGCUGUUCAUCAGUGUACAAGCAGUCAUCUUCAGCUCUGCAAAGCAAAAGAUUUUGUUCCACAUUCACAGGCUACAUGAAAAGAAAAUCAUUAUGGUUUCCUAUUAUCAGAUAGAUGCAGAUUGUAUUGUUGGUGUCCAGCAGUGGCUGGUUAGGAGCGGGCUGUCCAUAUCUUCUUCUUGGCAUUUAUUAAGAGUUUUGUCAGACUGCAUUGUGCUAUGGCCACAUAAUACUGAUCCACUCUGGAUUUCCAAUUGCAAGUCACAGAUGUAACGAAGAAAGGAAAAUAUUCUGCAGCAGAGUAGGCACAGGCCCUAAUGAAAUGUGGCAUAUUAAUUUCCGAGUUGUGAAAUAAUAUAAUCCCAGCAAAUUUAUAUUUCUAAUUUGAGGAUCCUGAGGAAGAAAAGAAAGAGCCAGUUCUCAGAAAUAUCUGUUCACUUAGCACGUCGCUUCUGAGUUUUUCUCCAUCUUCUUCUGGUCUGUGGAAGCAAAGUCAUUCUUCAGAAACUAGAAUUCCUGAAUUAGUUUAUGCAUUUUUACGUGUCCCAGAGAUUUUUUAUGUACUGGGCAAAGAGAUGAUAGACGUAGAUAAGUAGAUGUGUUCUAUCUGACAAAAUGCCUUGAAGAAAAAAAUGUGAUUCGUGGCUUUUUUUGUUCUUUAACUGAUGGAUGAUGGUGAUAAAUAAAUUCAAUUUAGUUUUCUUGAGAAACUCAAACACCUCAGAUUACAAAUCCAUUUUAAACAGGAUGUGUCUGAAUCCUUAUUUGCAGUACUGCCACUGAGCUCUCGGCUACCUCAUUGGACAUCAGGUUUAUCCCAAUACGUAUGAUACAUGAGCCAUAAGAAAGGAGAUGGUUAUGUCCCAUUUCAGAGACGGAGACAGUGAAAACAAAGGAUAUUACUGUGAAUAAACGUACCUUUUUCUCUCUGUGUCCCAAAGACGUGCAACAUGCCAGAAGCCUGCAGCAUUAUGCUGGGCGUAAGGUCUCAGUUUUCCACGUUAUGUAGAUCAAAGCAGGGAUGUACCAGAAGGAGCAGGCUGCUUUCAUCUUUACAGGGUGAGCUGUGCAAUUGUCCCAGGCCUUUUCACAUCCACUCAGUACAAUUUCUUCUGACGUGAGGCCAAACCAAGAAGGUUUCUAAAGCACUGGGAAAAAAUCUCUCUCUCGUUUAAAAAAUAAAACGCAACAGCAUCACAAAUCACAUGAAAAUAGAAUUAGCUAUUUUUCUUCUUGAUUUUCCCCUUGGCUGAGCUGGUUAUCACUGUACUGCGUGGCAGGUUUUUAUCAGACAGUGUAAUUUCCAUACUUCUGAAGUUUGCUAUUUGUUAUUAGUUUGCAGUGGAUUAUUACAAUACAAACGCAAGUACUCAACGAAAACAGCAACUUCAUCCAAAAUAUUACAGUUAAAUAAUAUUUCUCACUGACAAAUCAAAUUAUUCAGAUUACAUAUUUAUAACCAUUUUGACUUAGUGCUUUCCCAGAACCAGUGUGAAUAGAGACAUAAUUACAUACAAGACUUCUGGGCAGCUAUAACUAUAUUCAGUUGCUAAGUGUAAACCCAUAAAGGAAAAAUAUCUUUGCAGUUUGAGUUGACCAUGAGACUGCAAACAUAUUCUGAAAGUGUCUCAGAAUGAUUCUUCUUUUCCUAGGUAUUAGAUGUGAAUUGUAAUCUAUGCAUUAAAAACAGCCUACUGUGUGUGGCAAUGGAAGCAGAGUUAUUCUGUUGGCAUUCUGAGGUUUGCCUGCCAGAAAGGAGCAGAGGAGAAAGAGUUCCUGUGAUAGAUACAACAUAAAGAAAUACAUACAAAAUUCCCACUCAACACGCCAGAAAAGAUUGUUAAUGUAGCAACUUGCAUUGCUUAAAACAUUGGUGUUAAAUGGCGCUGAGGUUAUUCUUUCUGCCCAGAAACAUGAAGUCUCCAGGAUUCAAUUAAGAUAUUCAGAUCAGUCUUUAUUGCUUUGCAAAAGUUAAUCGUUUUGCCCCCAUUUUUCCCCAUUUCAACUUCAAUCUUACCUUCUUAUUUGUUUCAAAUUAAAUCAGAAGAAAUUUGAGACUUUAAAAAAUGAACUCAUUAAUAAGCGCCCAUUUUUGGCAGAGUAGUGGACGAACCGCAUUCUUUCCAUAAUGCAUUUCAAGUGGUAUCGACAGUAUUUCAGUAUACAAAAAAACUUAGGAAAUAGUACCUAUCAAAUGAUUCUCAGUCAAAAAUGAGGAAAGUUGGAAAGAGAAUCACACUAAGAAAAGCUAAUAAAUACUAGAUCACAUACAUCCAGAAAUGUGUCAAGUUUAUACUUUCACUUUUGCCAAGGCUUGAUUUAUAAUGCAAGACCUGCCACUCAAUCACACGAUACAGGUAAAUGCAUCUAUAUAUAAAAAUACAUACCUACGCCUAUCGAUCUGUCUAUCAGUAGAUAUGAGAUCAUAGCUUGCUUCACGGCUGUUAUCAAAAGAAAUCUGAGUUGGACCACAGUAUACAUUAAUCAUUCAUCCUCAGGUACAGAUCAAUAUGUUGUGAAACACUUUCAUCUUUUCUUUAGAAAUAACGUUCAGAUAUCUGUCAGCCUACUGAUGUCUGCAAAAUCUCCUAAGAUGCUAGUAAAAAUUAGUCUUGGCCCAUUUUGAUUUCAGUGCGUGAUGGAUGAUAUAAUAAUAUUAUCCACUGACAACACGGUAUGAAGUGUUUGCUUGUUAAUUAUGUAUGGGAACACGACAGCUGUGAAAGCAGUGAUAAAGCUCCAUCAGCCCACGACUGAUGUGCUGGAGCACAUGGUGCUCCCAAGGAUAGGCUACAUCUUGGUUAUUGUGUUUGUAACACCAAUGAGGAGUCUGGAAAUUGUGAAACAAUAAAUGUGGGUUGAAGCUUGAAACUUUGCAAUUCAAGUUACCAUCUUUUUCCCCACAGAUACUGAUCAAGAAAAAUCCGUGAGCACUUAAAGAGCUCCAUGUGUAAUACUGACUGUUUACUGGUGCUGAUAAUGUCAUGUGGAAUCAGAGCUAUCUGGCAUACCUGAAAGUCAAAUCCAUGGUACUGAUUACCCUCAGACUCUUUAGCAGACCUGCACCCUCACAGCCUCUUUACAUAUAUAUAUAUAUAUUUUUUUUAAUUUAACAGGCAUUAGAGUUUGAAGAAGCAGCAGACGGGAAACAGCAAAAUAAAACUGUGAAAUGCACAGUUUUGAAAAGUUGUGCCAUGUAUUUUCCCAGAAUCAAGGCAUUAUAUAGAUCAAAAUGAGAAUUAAACCACUUCUAUUCUCUGUUAUCCUCCUGGACAGAAGGUUUCCUAUCUUGUCAGUUUUAGUGUGCCAACUCUCUCCGGGCAUGACCCUCCCAGCACCUCGUACCCAUUAGUUCAGAUAUAAGCCUCAUUUCCAGACUUCUUUUUACACUUUCUACCUACCUCGGGAGGAUGCUUUCCCCAGCAUUGCCUUGCAAUGAGAAGGUCGCUCAAUUGCCAUGGAGCAUCUUCUUGAAAUCUCCAGCAUCACAGCUCAGCCCAGCAGGAGCAAACAUCUGUCAGGUUCCUCUUUGAAAUUCUCCUAUGCUGAGAAGCUGGAGAAGAAGCCUUUAGCUGGGAAAGCUGAUCAAUAGUAUGGCUUUUCCCUUUUUUGCACUGUGACCUUUUAAUCUGCUCUGCAUAACACCGUGCAGCUCCUGGUCCUGGCCAUGCCUAAGGACUCUAAAUAAUUCAGUAAUACAAAUGCCAAAUAUACACCUAAUAAAUUUAAUGCAGCCAGAAAAAAAAAUGCACAGAAGUGGGCAGGUAGAAGGAAGGGAAGAGCACAUAAGAUUUUCACAUCUCUGGAAAUCAUACCAAAAAGUUUUGCUUUAAUGAUCUGCUCUGUAUGAUAUACUACGCAUUAGAGUAGCAACUGGGUUUCAUGCAAAUUCAGAUUGAACCAUUAAAUAUUUUUCUAUUAAAAAUUAUUACUGUAAGUACCUCAUAGUCGGCAAACUCUCUGAUUUCUGAAUCUUGUUACAACUACCCAUAGGAAAGUACAAGCACUCAUAGGAAAGUCCUCUCUUGGUAAUAAGUAUUGAUUUCAAAGCUCCAUUUGCAAGCAACUGGAUCCAAAACGUGCCAAAAGUGUCAUAUUUUCUAGAGAUAAUGGAGAAUAUUCUUCGACUAAAAUUAUUUUUUUGCUGCUCUGUCGUUACUCCCUUUUAUAUGUGCCCCAUGGCACCUAUUGUCAAACAAAUAUGGCUAUUCUCUUUCCUUGCUUAAUUGUAAAUUUGUAAAUGAGAUAUAAUUUAUUUCUAUUACUAAUCGAUCAAGGAGAAUUUAUAGUGUGUAUUCCCCUCACUAUUGCCAAGCACACUUACCCUCGAAGGUAAAAUAACUUGCAGUGAGUAUAAAAAUUGAAUUAAAUCAAUAUGUUUUUAUUCUCCUCCGGCUCUUUUUCCACCGUUGUACAAUUAAAAUUCUAUGAGGAAUGUAAUACUGAAGAAAUAAAUCUUACAGUACUUAAUCAGACUAGAUUCAAAUAAAUAAAUCAUGAAGAAAACAGUGGAGCAUCUUUCAGUGAAUGCAUAAAGGAAGUGUUGAAUCUUCAAUGAAUGAACUAUUCUGUAAAAAUGUUUUUCUUAUUUCAAUGCAUCAGAUUAUGUGCAGUUUCCCUUUACAUCAGCCAGGUCGGUAAUGAACUAUGCAAACUGGUGUUCUCACUACACCUUAAACGCAGUCAGUUGUGCAUAUGGUUAAAAUACUUCUAUAGUCAAUCCACAGAACUCUCAGCCUGCACCACCUUCUACCUUGUCAGUCAGUCACGUAUUCACACAACGCAGCACAAAAGCACACCUCUAAAAUCUAAUCUAAGCACAGUUUACUACUGCUGAAGAUCUGGCUCUGAAUACAGCAUUAUUUUCUUUUCCUGUUUCACUGCGUGGGUGCAGGCUGUCACAAUAUCCGUAGGCUGCUCAGGGAAGCUGAAUACCAGGAGGGGAAAGAAAUACCUGAUCUCAUGUGUUCACUGAGCUCCCAGGAGCACUUGUGAGACGCAUUCAGGGCAGAGAGAGAAAGUGGUAUUGAUAGCAGUGACACAGAAUGAUAACUAUGGGUUCUUUAGGCUCCCGUCCAGAAAAGCACUUAAGCCUCCUUCACCCUAUACACACCUGAGUCACACGAGUUCAUUGGAUUCUCCUUCGGGUUUGUACUGAAAUCCUCUCUUCACUGCGACUGUAAUCAUUAGUUAUUGCAAAGCAGAUGAACAGUAAAUAUGAAAAGAGGAACCUGGAUCAGGGUGACUUCUGCAGACUGAUUACAGUAUUCCUGUUUCUAUCCUUUGGCAGGACUAGAAGACUGAGGAAACUAUGGGUGUGCUAUUAUGCUUCUACAAUAAAAGUACUACAACGUGAGUGACACUGUAGAAGUCAAAAACAGCAAACACAGCAUCUGCAUUUAGGAAGAAGGAUGAGUAAGGAAUCGUAGAAUCAUUGAGGCUCAAGUCAUCAGUCAGAUCAUCUAGUCCAACCAUCAACCCACCACCAUCACAUUACUAAAUCAUGUCACUCAGUGUGACAUUAUACUUUUCUUGAACACCUGCAGGGACAGUGACUCCACCACCUCCCUGGGCAGCCUGUUUCAAUGCUUUGCCAUCCUUUCUAAGAAGAAAUGUUUCUCAGUAUCCAACCUGAACCUCCCCUGGCUAAGCCUAAAGCCAUUACUUCUUGUUCUCUAGUUACCUGGGAGAAGAGGCCGAUCCCUGCAGUUGUGUUUGUCCUUGGUCUAUUAAUCUGACUUUGAUCCGUUAGUCUGAAAGAAUAAUUAAAAACAUGAAGGUAAAUGGCAAAUAGAAGAAAGGGCAAAAGAAUUGGAUGGAAAGAGAUACAGUCAAAUGAACUUAAAUCUGUUUUUGUUACAUUAAUUGAAGGAAAUGCAGUAACUCGUCUGCAUCUGUAUUUCAUGGAGCAUUUUAUGUGAACCUAUAUGAUGGUUUAAAAUAACAUGCUGGAGAACAUGGAAAUUAGUUUAAAAAAAAAAAAGGAAUAUCAAGAAUAGCAAAAGAUGAGGCAUCAAAGGGAAAGUACCAGAUGAGAGGAAUGGUUGAAACUGAGUUUGCCAAAGAUUGUUCUCACGAUGACCUAGUUAUAAUGCGUAUUAUAAUUUUAUUAAUCUGUAUUUACUCUAACAGCACAAAAUAAGAGUACAUCUGCGAUUUGCUGAUGACACAAAGGUGGGAGGCAGUGUCAGUACUGAUAACAAUCUCUGUGAUAAACUGACCGUGUAAAAAUUACACAGCCUUGAGGAAUGAGAUUACAGAUUUGGGGAGUAAAGUAGGAGUCAGGCAGAUGGUGAUCAACAGUACAUGCUUCUGCUGCAAAAUGAGACUUUAUCAGUUAGAAAUGACAAAGUGAUAAAGAUCUAUGAACACUAGCUCGAGGAAGGUCUGCCGUAUUAGCGGAUUAUAGGGUGACACUGAGCCUCAACUUCAUCAGCCAUGAAAAUGUCACCUUUUAGGAGAUAAAAUGACAGAGAACAUGGGUGAUAUGUCCCGUCAUCUGCAACUCAGGCUGUUUAAAGGUGAGUUUACAAGGGAUAUAACAGAGAUAUUAAAAUGAUUUGAGGAAUGAAAACUCAUCUGAAAGUGGAAGACAGAAGGGCCUCCCUCCGCUCUCCCACGGGUUUAACAUAGGAAAACAGGAAGGUAUCAAAGAAGAUACGAUUAUGGCCUGUAGAAACAGCUGACAUAAACAUUAAAAAAAAUAAAAUAAAUGCAAACACUAGUUAACAUUAAAAAGAAAAAUAACGGGCUCGUGAUUUAACAAGUUAAAAUUCUCUCUCAUUUUUUUUUAAACUGGAAAUUAAUAAAAAUAAAAACACCUAUCAAAGCAGAAAGACACUUUAAUGGGCUUACUGUUGGAGGAAAAAUAAAACACCACUGUAAAGUACAAAAGAGACUGAUGGAGUUGUCUAUAAAAAGGAUUACAUCACGUGAUUGUCUGGAUUUAGGGAUUUGAGGAGUUGGCGUUCGCUCUGCGCAUCUAAAGAAAGUGCUGUGAACUGAACAUGCUACAAUCCACCUGCUGAUCAAAUCACUGAGUUUGUCCCAAGACUGAAAAGCCGUGUUUUGUUUUGUUUUUAAAAAAGGAUCUCAUCAUGUGUGGAACAUCCCAGAAAAGUGCAAAGAAGAUUGCUGUUAUCUGAAGAAUGACGAGAGUUAUUAUUUGUUUAAUUAGUGACAAAUGAGUGAACUACAAAAUAUUAAUUUAUUUUCUAGGACAAACCAGUGGUUUGGUGUAGAAAAGUUUUUGUUUGUUUCUUUUGGGUUUUUGUUUUUUAAUGCAACAAAAGGGAAACACAGAGGGUAGCUUUUCAGUUGCUUUGUUAUAGGAGUUUGCUUAUUUAUGGCUAGGUUUAGAAGGCAGUGUUUCUAGUUCAGUACCGUAUUUCAGGAAUAAGCUUAUAACACUACAACUUCGAUCUCAGGAAUCAAAUACAAUCAUGACUUACAUUACACAGUUUGCAAUUAUUGGCAUAAAUAUUAAAUACCCAUGUAAACAUAAGUACUUCACACUGCACACAAGUAGGCACCAUCAGCAGCUGGGAUGCUUUGUUUCAAUACUUAUGGUCAUAUGCUUGAACUCUGCAUUCCUAUUUCUUCUGUUGCAGAUUAACCUGAUUUCUAGGAAUUCUGAUUAUACACACAAUGUGUCAUUGCCCAGCAAUUUACAGCUGAGAGGUGGCUGUAUGGGCCAUGAUUUAAACAGUAGUUCUGUAGAAAUGUCUUGCCUGUAUCUCCAUGGGUUUCAUUCAACUAAACUGAAUGAAUAAUUCUUACCAACAAGAAUUUUUUAACAACUGUGAAUAAAAGAGACUUUACAAGCCAUAGAAAAAUGUCAGUUAUGGAGCAUUAUGGAUUGAUUUUUAGGGUUGAUUCAAGGAUACAAUGCCAAAUAGACUGUAAGACCAAACAGAACACACUAUUCUAGUCCAGGUGAUUACCUUCCAUUAUUAAGCGAUAAAAAGUAGAAUUGCUCUCAUUUCUUACCUGCUGAUUUACUGUGAAUUCAGAGAAAUUGCUUCACCUCUUCAUUAUUUUUCUUCUUUCUGGAUAAAAUGAAAUUAAGGUAUAAUUUUCUAUUGUCUAGCUGAGCCAAUGAAAAGUAGUGAAAUCACCUCAACAUUUUCAACAGAGUGGUGUCAGAUGUCCCAUAUUUUAUUUAUUUAUUUUUCUAAGCAUCAAAAAAAUCUCUCUCAAAGCUGCUCUUUAAUCAAAAUGAUUCUGAUUAUGUUGUUCGUGGAAUGGAGCAACAGAGAUCUAGCUUCUUUUUUUCCCCAAUAAAGCAACUCAUCUUCACAUCAUUAAAUCUGACAUCCUGAAAUUGACUAGAAUUUUGAGGGUUGAAAUGUAUCAUUCCAGUAUGAAACACUUUCAUAUUGUAAGUCAUGCUAUUAAAAAUUCUGUUAUUAAAAAUAGUCACAAAAAGGGGGGAAAAACAAAUCAAUUAAAAAAAAUAAAAAAUCAAGCACAUACUUUCCACUUACCUUGCCAGUAGAAAAUAUAUAAAUAAAUAAGUUUUAAACUAAUAGUUUCUUAACAAUUUUGAACAGUCCUAAAAUGCCAAAACAGGCAACUUUAGGAAUAAACAGAGCAGCAGCUUCAAAGCAGUAAAGCUAUUGCAGAUGGUCACAGAGCAUGGAGUUGAGAUGAACUCUGAAGUCCGUUAGCUGUGUUAGUGCACUUGGCCUCUUUUCCCCUUGUAAAUCUGGUAUUAGGAUAUAUUCUAUUACUUACUAAAGUUUAUAGAAACAGGCAGAAUGAAGGAGAAUUCAUCAUGAAACCUUAUAUAACAGAAUAUAAAUAUAAUAUAUUUAUAUAAAUAUAUAAAUAUAUAAAUAUAUAAAUAUAUAAAUAUAUAAAUAAUAUAUUCUCUUAAAGAAUUCAUGAUUUCCCUAUUAAAUUGCUGUUUCAGUGGAAGUAUCUCAGACCUCUGGAAAUCUAACUAAGACAUAUUUCUGAGGGUCUCAUAAUGCCUUCUGACACUUAGAUUGAUAAGUCUGUAAGCCAAUAGUUUCAAAUAAGGUAAUCACCUGUUGAUUUCAAAUAAGACACCGAGUGCAAGCUUGCUUUUACUCACAGGUUUUCUGGCAAGUAGCAGCAGUAUUCCCAUGAACAAGCAGUUCUUGUAGAAUCAGUAUUUUCAGCCUUAAUCUCACUUGCUUCUCGUUGCUCAAUGGUAUUCUUUCCAUCCUCCAUUACCUGCUGAUAUUCAGCACCUCUUUGGACAAAUCCGGAAUGCAAAAUGAGCAGGGAUUUCAUUAGGAUAUUUGCUGGAGGAUUUACUAAUCAGAAAAUCAAAUAAAAAAAAAAGAUAAAUCAAAGAAAGGUCAACUAUUCUGUUUGGGAAGGACUGCCAUACAUGGUAAAUGGCGCUUUUUACAUUAAAAUGAACUGCAAUUGCAUGUGGUUGACUGCCAACAGACCUGUUUGGAAUAGUAGCCCUGUCCAUGCUAAAUCACAGAGGACAAUUGCCAGCAAUCCCAAAUCUUUAAUGUUUUCUAAUUUGUCUACUUUAACAGGUGACAGUAAUCUCAGAUCAUUAAAAAGGGAUGCUUUCUCCUAAUCAGCAAUCCUUUUUUCAUAGACAAACAGCUCUUCACAUAUAAAGCUUCCAACAGUAGCCAGGUGUCACAUCAGCCAUUGAGGCAGGUUCGACAUGGGAAGCUGCUGGAAAAACAUGAGAAUUAUGAAUGACUUAGUAAAGAUUACUUAGCAGACUGGCAUGUCCUCUCUUGCACUUGCUUUCUUUGUUGUGAACAGGCAGAGUGUAACAAACAGUGUUAAAAAAAAAAAAAAAAAAAAGGAAUAGUUCAGUUAAAAAUUGGGGUUUUUAUUUUAUUUUUUAUUUUUAAAAUGGGGUUACUUUAUUUAGCAAUGGAAGUAAAAAUCUAUAAAGCACUAGUUGGAGUUGAACACCCACAGAUUUGUUGAUACCUGGCUACCUGUCUGCCUUUGUACCUUAGAAAUUAGCAAGAAUUUUAUUAAUGCUCACCUUUAGAAUUUUGGGACUUUAAAAGACUUAAUUAGCUGUGAUUCCUAUUUCCACACCUUUUCCAGCUGGAAUUCUUAUGAAGGUUACAACCAAAAUAACCCUCUUUCUUGAAGCAUACUAAAUAACAUCUGACAAAAACAGAAGCUGAUCGAUUGAUGUAAUGGACACAUUAAUGAAGGAUCAUUAAUUGCUCUCAUUUCAUAUUAAUUACUAUAAGAUAUAUAGUCAAAUGAUCUUUGAUUACUAAGACAUUUGAAGGAAAUUCAAAACUUAUUAACUCUUUCAUAUUGAAAUUAAUAUACUUCUGAAUCCAACCAACAGCUUUUACAAUGAUCAUUUAAAGAAAAUACAUUUAGUUUGCUCUUCUUUGUCUAAAGAACUUACUUUCUUGAAGGACAUGCACUUUCUUUUUCUACUUUCUUCCUUUUCUUUCUUUCUUUCAACUCCUCGUGAAAAGCUGAUUUUUCUUCCUGUUUUCUGUAUCUCAUUCUCCAAAUAGGAAAAUGAAAAGCUUUUAAAAUUUUCUAUUUAUAACUAACUUUGUUUUACUUUUUAAAUUUUAGUUUAGUUUAUCUCACUAAUCCAUAAUGCUUUAAUCUUUCUUUUUCUCCUUCCAGUAUCUUGCAGUACUCUUCUUCCUUCAUCUACCAAAGCAGCCGCAACUAUUGUAAACAUAGGCUCUCUUUCAAAUUUUGCCUUUUUUUCUGUCAGACCUUGUAUUUGUUGCCAAUUUAUUUUUUUCCAUUGUUUCCAGCUAGACAGGGUUACAGAUCAACACAGUUGUUAACUUGGUAGAAAUCUGAAAGUGAAUUAGUAACUAUUGCUUUUCAGUAGUAUAAAGCCUGUUGGUUUUACUGGUCUCAUUACGUCUUAAAUCUUUUUGUUUCACGUCCUCUUCGCUGCCCUGUCUUGACCAGCUAUUUGGAUCCAUUAGUCUCAAAUUCAUCUUCGCCUUCACUAUUCUGUAUGAAAUAUCUCUGUGGCUCACACAGACAUCUGUCAUAUUUGUAGCAUUUCAUAUCUUGGACACUCUCUUAAUACCUGAUGGCAAGGAGUUCAGUAGCACUAAAUACAAGAGAAAAAAUCCAGUUCCAUGCUUCCUAAUGGAAGUGGUUUUAAAUCACACCUGGUGCCAUGGUCUUGAAAGCCUUGGAAGGAACACGCUCUUAGUGCGGGAGCAAUAUUAUGCUUUCAGUAAUGUAGUGUUUGACACAUACGAGUUGUGGGAGAGCAGAAUGUGUCCCGUGGCUGCUGAGGUAACUUCUGAUUUUAUUGUCAAACACAGUUUGUUCUUUAUGUGACACCUGGUAUCUAAACCUCCAUGAAAAAUCUCAGUCUGCAUAUUUUUUUCUGCUAUGUAUUACAUAGCAAUAAAGGAAAGUUAUAUUGCUGCAAUAUAUAGAAAUGUAACACCUGACACACCCAAUGGAUUAAAAAAAUGCAACCAAACAACUAUAAUAACAAACUCAUAACAUCUCUCCACAAAUGUAGACUACCUCAGAUUUUUGGAAGUGAAGUGAUUAAAAAAAUUUCCCUCGUAUCCAGCUGGGAUCUUUCAUCAGAUAUUUAGCAUCCAUUUUUACUGAUUUAGUAAAGUAAAUUACUCUUCUAGUAGAAAUUAAAUUUAACAGUUGUUCUUUUACUGCUCUAGGUGGAGAAUGUCUCUCCAGAAAGUUUUAAGACUUUCACCAAAUAAUCCCAAUAUGCAGCUCAAAUAAACAAAGCAUACUCUUUCCUGAAAGGAACUGCAAGUGCACCAGUCACUUCCUUUAGCACUAUCAUAUUUGCACUGAGAAGUCUGUUCCAGCCCAAGGUUAUUGCCAAGCACAUUAUGGAGCAAGCACAGAAGGAAGUCAGAAGAGAGGGAUUAUAGUUCUAUUGUUAGCAAAUAGCAUUUCCUGGUGCCAUUAAAAAUAAUUUAUCUAUCAUUUUUUGUUCUCAGCAAUUCCCAGAUGAGAUGAGCAUCUCAUCUUUAUGAGGUGCUCACUAGGAUUACUGCCUUACAAUCAUGCCCAAGGCCAUUUCAAUACCACAUAAAGAGCAACGUAACACAAGAUAUUCAACUCAGAACUGCAGGUGUGCACAUCUUAAGAGCUGCUCAGAUGGCAUCUGAGAACAAGGCUGGCCUCUUCGAUAUGCUGCUUCGACCCAUUAGAAAUGCCAACACAAACUCAGUUUAAGUGAGUUUUUUGUUAGUAAACAUCAAAAAAGACAUUUGUGGAGAUAGCUAUGCAAUAACUGUCACUGUUGUUAAUGCAGUUCCCAUCCAGCUCUCAGUGUUUUUACAACCGUAUUCUGCUCCAGGAAUGAAAAAGAGUGGGUCCAUAAAAGAGUCAAAGCCAGGUCAGAAAGGCUGAAAAGCAGAACAGUAAAGCAAGUAAAGAGCUGUCAGUAACAAGACCCUUCAGCAAACCACAUCAAUGCAAUAUCUACACCAUCUACAAUCUACAUGCAGUAUAUACACCGUGUACACAUCACAUAUAGAAUAUACACCAUAUUCAGUAUACAUGUAGUGGGAUUCCUUGCUUUGAACUUGACACUCUGUACUAAGCUAAGCUCUACAGUGAGCUCAGUGAAGUUUUACUCUUGACCUCUCUCAGGAAGGAGUUGGUUAUUUCUCUGGAUUGAUAAUGCCAGCCAAAAGAGGCGAUUCCAGUCAAAACAGGUGAUUCUCUCACCAUACCUAAUGCUGGUGCAGUCUCACCUUGAAUACUGUACGCAUUUUGGAAUCCAGAACAUAAAAAGGUUGAGAAUAUCCCUGAAAGCAUCCAAAGGAGGGCAACAAAGCUAGUCAAAGGGCUGGAAGGUGUGUCCUACAGCUGUCUCACAUUAAAUAAAAUUUGAUUGGAAAAAAAAAUAAAUAGAAUUUGUAAGCAUUUAAGCAAUGUUUGCACUUUCAGAUGUUAGAGUAGUGCUGGAAAAUAGAACCUUGAAUAUGUUUCAAAGCUUAUUCUCAUAGCACAAAGCAGAAGGGAUUUUAGUCUACAUUUGGAGAAGUUAUAUUUUGGCACUCAGAGUCUGAAAAGCUGAUUUUCCUUAACUGUUCUCAAACUGAUUUAACAAAAAUUUCUUGCUCAUUCUCUUAUUCUAUACAUCUUUUCUUUAUUAUUAUUAAAGCAGUGCUUUUUAUCUCCACUCAUGCCUGUUAGUAGGAAUGCGUAAUUUAGAAUUAUAGGUCUUUGCUUUACUGGUUUUUUAUUUUAUGUUACUGUUUUUAUGUUAUGUAACUGCUUCAGAGAAAUGGUAACUAGAUGAUAAUGUAUUGCACAUCUUUACAAUGUCCUCUGAUAAUUGCAACACUCAUGCUUUUUAAUUAAAAGCAAAUAAUCCAGUCUAACAGUCAUAUAAGUCUAUAGAUUCAUUUCAGUAAUCUACGGUGAGCUUUAGGCCAAAAUGAUAUUUUAUAAGUAUCAAGUAUCAAGUAUCAAGCCAUUUAUAUAAAACAAGAAAUAAAUGACUUGCUUUCAUAUAAUUAAGAAAAUAAGCUGAAGACAAAUGAUUUCUUAUCUCAUUUUGCUUUAGCAGUACCAUUAUGGGACGGGAGCACAGCUGCCAUUUAUGACAAACACAGCCUCCAAUAACACAUUUUAUGGCUUUUGAUUUUAGACUCUCGCUUCUGACAUGCAUAAUGCUUUGAGGUAUCAUUGUUUUUACAUCAAUAAAAAACCUGAUAUAAGAUUUUAUGUAUGUCAUUUUGUCACAUGGACGGUGCAAUAAGAUCAGUUGAAGCAUUUACCACAUAUUUAUUGUCUGCUUUGAAAUGAAUAUCUGGAUAACUGGGAAAGCAAAAAUCUUUGGUAUAAGGAUUUAUGAAUUGAAUAAAAUUAUC